rnacentral:lncRNA from 1 species
UCUCUCACGCGCCCGCAAACACCCCACGCCUGGACCCCCUCUCCCUCCUCUCCUUUCUUUUUUUCUUGACCAACACGUCCACAGGUGGAUCUUCUUCCUCCUUUCCUCCUUCCUCCUUUGUAACCAGAUCUGAAGAACCAGGCUGAGAUUUGCGUAUCCAUGGCGUGUUGACCAAGAAGAUCAAGGUAACCACCGCCCUCCAAAAGCAGCCCCCUCUCUCCCUCCUCUGUUUGUGAUUUGGCCAGGAAGAUCAAGAGGUUUUCCUGAUCGUGAUUUGCCUAAAAAAAUCAAGUAACUUCCCCCCUCUCAUAGGAUUUUGUAGAUGUGUGCAAAAAACUAAGCAACUAAAGCUCCAAUUUUAGGCAACUCUAUUGUGUUGACAGAGCAACUGCAAAAAAAAGCUAGGAACAAAAGCUUUGUCCCUGCUUGAUCAUGAAGCCCACCCUCUCCCUACUUGAAAGAUCAAAAGAGGGUUUGUCUGUUCCUGGUUUGCAUAAAAAAAUAAUGAAACAAUAUUGAAGAAAAAAGCACAGUGCUAAAACUGAGAAACUAUGGGCAUUAUGUAAGAAAUGAGAAAAAAAUCCAAGCAACUUUCUCCCUCUCAUAGGGUUUAUAGAUGUUUGUGAAGAACUGAGCAACUGAUCCUCCAAUUUUAGGCAAUUCUAUUGUGUUUAUUGAGAAACUAAAAAGAAGGUAGGAACAAAAAAUCUUUCUUCCUACUUGAGAGAUCAAGAGGGUUUGUCUGUUCCUGAUUUGCAAAACUGAGCAAGUAUGUGCAUUAUGUAAGAAAGGAGAAAAAUAUUCCAAGCAACUUCCCCCUCUCAUGGGGUUUAUAGAUGUUUUCAAAAAACUGACCAACUAGCAUUCCAAUUUUAGGCAAACCUAUUUUGUUCAUUCAUCAACUGCAAAAAGAGAAAAGGUUGGAACAAAAAGCUUUGCAUUAGGAUGUUUGCAUUCAUCAACUAGUUGUGACUGCAUACAGUUCUCAAUGAUCCAGGAACAAUCCAAAGCACAAAAACAGAAAAAGUAAAGCAUGCACACAAAAGCAUUGAAAACUAGUUCAGUACAUAUGCAUCCUCUCGUAAAAAAUUAUAAAAUUAACAGCGUUGUAGAGAAGAUCCGCCUAAUCCAGUCAAUCUACACUACUAUGAAAAGGUCUUCUACCCGCGCUAAGAUCUGCCUAACAUAUGUGAAUUUUUCCACUGCAAUAACAGUUGUCACCUCCUGUUGAAGAGCAAGAAAGAAACACACAUGUCAAAAUUUAUUCACAUAUGGUGUGCUGGUGAUAACACAAAAAGGUAUGACAAAAAUGAACUUGUGUGAAAACAACACAAAAGUUGCCUCUGUUUAUCUUUCUAGUUGCCUAAAAAAGUGUAUACGGUUGCCCUAAUUUAAUCUAGUACUACUUUUACCUCAAUUUCUCCUCCCAACAAGAUAUGUUAAUAUUGGCUAUGUUAUUGUCAACUAAAAAAAUUGUUUCUGCAGGUGGGAUGAAAAGAAGAGAGAGGGACAAGAAGGAAAAAAAGAUGAUUGAUCUCAAUGAAGCAUCGAUUGACGUAGAGUCUGUCAACAUUUCAGUUGAGUUGGGUGCGCCCUUCUUAAAGACAGCCUAUGAUCAACAUGAUAUUCAUUGGGAGGAGGGUGUUGGUAAGUCCCUAGACACCGACAUUGGCUCUAAUACUGCUCAUGUUACGACCACCCAUAUCGCUGCUCCCAACGAUGUAGUUUGGUCCUGCUAAUGCUACAAUUGAUGAUGCACCUGACUUGGAAGAUGAAGAAGCGGGGUCGCAGCCACAAGUACCUUAUGUUGGCAUGCGCUUUGACAUGCUAGUGGGGGCAAGAGAACAUUAUAAUCGCUAUGCUCUAGGGCUGGGUUUUUCAAUCAAGUCGAAUACAUCCCACAGGUCGGCAUACACAUGGGUGCUGGACAGGAAACAAUUUUGUUGUAACAAGUUUCGUAAGCCUAUGGAGAGGGUUGGAGUAUCAGAUGUUGUCUCAUCCAGCAAAAAAGUACACGCCCGAGCUCCCCUGAACAAGAUAUUGAAGAGGAUGGUGAUGAACCCACUUAUAAGAAGAAGCGAAAAAGAGAGACUAUAAAGAAGACCAAAUGCCCUGCUAAGAUGGUGGUCAAGCUAAUAGAUGGCAGAUGGGAGGUUAUUAACUUUGUUGCAGAUCAUGCCCAUCCAUUGGUCGAUAAGACUUCACUAUCCAAAUAUCUCUGUUCCCACCAAGGCACCCCCCUGAAGAGAAAAAAAUUCUGACUCACCUACACGACAACAACUUGAUAGUAGGUACAUCUAACAACACCCACCCCCCCCCCCACAUCUAUAAAGAAGUAAAAAAGAAAACCUGACAAAUCUGAUUUUAUCGGAAGAAACUCUGGCAACUCAAAUUAGAAGAUGAGGCAACUCUGUUUUGACUUUGAGCAACUCUGAUAAGAAACAUGGUGCCAAACAUAUAAAAAAUCCUAGUAACUUCUCGCAUUAUGGAUUCAUGUACAUAAAAAAUCCUAGUAAUAAAACUACUUAUGUAUAUGAAUUGCCUCUAUUUUAUGCAUAAGUUGCUCCUUACAUCAUGUUUAGUUGCCUAAAUAACACAAGGGUUUGUUAUGUUUUUGACAGGAAGAAUGAUGAUGGUGAUGUCAUCAUACUAUCACUGGUACAACGAUGUGCUAUACAAACGGUUUUUAACCCCUUUCCAUGACGGCAUUUGGAACCAUAGCCAAGUGGGUGUGGGCGAUAGGGGGUCCUUCCCACACGACCCAUAAACCGUCGGGGAUAGGCCCUCCUGGCACACAGGCUGGGGAAAAAUGAGCUCGUGUGCGAUCGGGUGAGGCAUCAAAACCCAAUCGUUUUCAUUCGUAUGUACAUCCCACACAGACAGUCCCAAAAAAACGUUUCCGUUUGUUAUGUACAUUCCACACAGUCAAUCCAAGGAAUACGUUUCCGUUGUUAUGUACAUCUCUGAUGUCUGCUAGAACUACGUUGGUAUUUCUCCAAAGAGGAAGGGAUGAUGCAGUAUAGUGAAGGUAGGUAUUUCCCUCAGUAAUGAGACCAAGGUUAUCGAACCAGUAG